GCAAUCUCUAUAACAUUCUUGUUAGCUACCAGAAUAGGAAAGGCAAUGUAUUCUUUCAAGGUUCUCCGAAGCAGAUGUGUGCAAAUAUCACUUGAACAAAGUGGGAUCUUCGUAUCCUGGAAACCAAUUAUUUGAAGGAAAGGAUAUCUAUCCUGGAGAAACUUUACUUUCUCAAGCAUGCUAGCAAAGUUUGCCUCCGUGAUUGAGGAACCAUCUAAGAAUCCAGCAAUGAGCACUAAGAAAAUGCCAUCUUUCAGAGACUUCUUAUCCGCCGUGAAUCA
rnacentral:misc_RNA from 1 species